GUGAAUCAUCGAAUCUUUGAACGCACCUUGCGCCCCUCGGCCGUUCCGAGGGGCAUGCCUGUUUGAGUAUCAUGAACACUUCAACUCUCACGGUUCGCCGUGAUGAGCUUGGACUUUGGGGGUUUUGCCGGCCUUCGCGGUCGGCUCCUCUCAAAUGGAUCAGCUUACCAGUGUUUGGUGGGUACCAUGGGUGUGAUAACUAUCUACGCUUGUGGUUUUCCACCAGGUAACCUUCAGCAGUUGGAGGUUCAUUGGAGCUCAUAGAUGUCUCUCCUCAGUGAGGACAGCCCUUUGAAUGUUUGAUCUCAAAUCAGGUAGGACUACCCGCUGAACUUAAGCAUAUCAAUAAGCGGAGG
rnacentral:rRNA from 1 species